AGUUCACAAUCUUUCACUUGGCCGCUUCUAGUAAAGGGUGAUGUCUAGAGCAGUGAUUUCCAAAUGGGAGCAAAAGGAUCCAAGGGAAUGCUCAGAAAUAUGCAAUGGGGUACAAAAAGAAGAUAUUAUUUAAGAUUUGGUUUACUUAUCUCAAAAAGAAGUGACUAAAAGUUCAAUGGGAGAAAUGAUAGAAGCUAAUUAUGAUAAAACAGAUAAAGUACAUGGCACAAUGAGUGUGAACCCCUGGAGUUUUACAAUCAUUUGAAAUUCAAAGGCAAAUGCUGAGAGCACACCAUCAUGAGAAUUGGCACCAAUGAAAAAGUUUGUCAAAAUCACUCUGGCACUAAACCACUGAAUGUUUUCAACACAAAUGGAAAGCUGACAUCAUUUAUAGACAACUCAUGGACCAACACAAAGGAAAAAAUGUCAGAUCCAGUGAAUUUCUUUUCUUGUAAUUACUGUAUGAUUUCAACAUUGGCGUCUGUAAGAAAUACUAUUUUCCUCCGAAGCGUUUUCUGUAGCAUUAUUUUGUUUACCAUGGGAGGUUUGUCUUCUCCCAUUUUCCUUAGAAGUUGAACACACAUUUUCAAAGCCUGCUAGUGAUUUUGAAUUUCAAAAGCGAUUACAAGCAUGAUUCAUGCAAUACGACUCAUCCCUCUCAAAUGUUCUAAUUGUAUAAACUAUAUCCUUCAAAGCGUCUUACGGACACAUUAAAUAUUAGUAAACACAUUUUCAAGUGCCAAAAGGUAUGGUUCCUUCACACUUGCUGAUAAGACUGUAAUUGAUCCUCUAAUUUCCAUGUAUGAUUCAAAAUAAAGCUAAGACUGUGGUAAGCCUCGCAUUUUUAACAUUAAACUUGAACACACCAGUUCUGCCACUGCAGUAGCCACAUCUUGAUUCUUAACAGCAGUCACCUUCACCUCCAUAAUUUCCCUUUUGUUGCUUCAAAUUAUUUGUUGUACUAAGCACACUUUCUCUACCAAUAAAUUCAUGCCUCUUA
rnacentral:antisense_RNA from 1 species